UGCCUGCUUCGGGGACACGUGUCCUAAAAUGGAACGGUACAGAGAAGACUGAGCAUGGUCCCUGCAUGAGGGUGACACACAAAUUCAUGAAGCAUUCCAACGCAGU